GGAGCCCAAUGUGAACUAUUUCUUCUACUUGAGGGCUGUCAACCCAUUUAGGACAAGUGAACAAACUGAAGCUGCUCUCAUCUCAACUAAAGAUUCUCAGAACCGAUGUUUCUUUGUUGUGAAUUGUACCAGGAACUCGAUUUCACCUACUGAAUGACACAGCCCAUCCCACUUUGCAAAUCUCCCCUGAUGCAACUGUGAUCCGCCUUCCCAAGAAAGCCAAAUUCACUGGGUUUCCUUCAAUCCUGGGUGAACUGCUGCCUGCUCGGGGACAUCAUUACUGGGAAACCGUUGUCUCUGCCUGCAGAAGCUAUAGGAUUGGGAUUUGCUAUGAGGCAACAUCAUGGAGCAGUGUCCUGGGGCUGAGUGAUACUUCCUGGUGCAUGCGCUGCUGUCCUACACAAACCAGGCUCAUAUCCUGAACUACUUCACAAAAUCCCAGCAAGCGUAUUUAUGUCUGUAAAUGCAAUCCUUUCAGAAUCUAUUUCCAGCUCCAGGAGACUUCAAGCCUCCAUAGAGAAUGCCUUCUACUGCCUUGUCCUUCACAGCAACAGGCACCCAUCUGCCACUGUGGCAGGACUGCAGGGCACUGGGGUAGUCUUCAGCAGGCCAGUGCCAGGCAAUUUGGAGGUUUGUAAGUCAUAACCCUGUUAAUGGUGUAAAGGUGCUCUUCAUCUAAACAAGUGUGUUUUUUUAGUGUGAAAUCAUAUGGAUGCAUGAACAUAACUAACUAAACAAAACGUCUGAGAUGCAAAGGGUUUUACUAAAGCACAGCUCAUGCUUAAAUCCCCAAAAAGACAUGUAAUAAGAAAGGUAUAGAUGAAUAUGAUUACAGCAAGUCUGCUUUUAUUCAGAGCACCCAAAGAUGCUGAGUGAAAGGGCUCAUAGGUGUGCCAGGCAGGGCUUUGAAGCAAUGCCACAUUUGCUCAGGUAGGAGGGUUACGUACUGAGCAAAAUUCUGUUGCCACGUGAUACACUGCUGUAUGCGGCAACCUGUUAAUAGGUGGGAAUUAAGCGGUACGUUAUUUCUGGUAAAUCACCAUGAGGAAGCUCACUGUAUUCUGGUUUCCAUUUUCCUGCAGCUUUCUUUACAGAUGUCUUCACAUCAGUAUGAUGAGUGAUGUCCAUAUGACAGAACACCCAGCCAGGAUCGGCAUCCUGUUGGAUUACAGUGAUGGCAGACUGUUGUUCUUCAAUGCAGAGAGAGGACUGGUGCUGUUCACCAUCAGAUACAAAUUUACUGAUGCUGCUCACCCAACCUUUGCCCUGGAGAAGGCUGAAGCGCUUACCCUGUGCACGGGAAUGGAGCUGCCGGAGUUUGUGAAGCACGGCAUUAGCUGUGCUUCACACUCUCAGGAAAACUGACAAUUACAGCAUCGGGGG